CAACCUACGGGACGCAGCAGUGGGGAAUAUUGCACAAUGGGGGAAACCCUGAUGCAGCAACGCCACGUGAGUGAAGAAGGUUCUCGGAUUGUAAAGCUCUGUUAGCAGGGAAGAGGAAGGACGGUACCUGCAGAGGAAGCCACGGCUAACUACGUGCCAGCGGCCGCGGUAAUACGUAGGUGGCAAGCGUUGUUCGGAAUAACUGGGCGUAAAGGAUGCGUGGGCGGGUAAACAAGUUAUAUGUUAAAUAUAUAGGCUUAACCUGUAGAAAGCAUAUAAAACUGUUUAACUAGAGUGCAGGAGAG
rnacentral:rRNA from 1 species